GCAGAGGCUUGGAGCUUUCUGGAGUGUUAUAGUGUUGCUCUUCAUGGGUUGAAGCUUUCUGAGGUUGUCUGGUGAUACUCUGUGUGCUGUGGCCAUCUCAACUGUGACAUAUGCUGGGAUAAACACUAAAUACAGGUGCUUUUAGCAGGGAAAUGUAUCUCAUUUGCUAGUUCUCUGAGGACUUUGAUGCAAUGACAGUCAGCUGUCAAACCCAGCCUCUAAGGUCCUCACAAGAAGAUACCUGAAAUUGCAAAGAAUCCCAUUUCAUUUCUGGCCUGUAAAAUAAUCUUUAUAAGAAAUUCAGUCUUCUUG